rnacentral:rRNA from 1 species
UACGUAGGUGGCAAGCGUUGUCCGGAUUUACUGGGUGUAAAGGGCGUGUAGCCGGGUUGACAAGUCAGAUGUGAAAUCCUGCGGCUUAACCGCAGAACUGCAUUUGAAACUGUUGAUCUUGAGUACUGGAGAGGCAGACGGAAUUCCUAGUGUAGCGGUGAAAUGCGUAGAUAUUAGGAGGAACACCAGUGGCGAAGGCGGUCUGCUGGACCGAAACUGACGUUGAGGCUCGAAAGCGUGGGGAGCAAACAGG